AGGGUCCCUCUGUGCUCAGACAGUGGCCCUUUGUGGAGUGGAGGAGCAGACUGAAAGCGGAGCCGCUGGAAACCGUUUCCUCCCCCCUGCCUCGAGCAACCUCCUCCCGCAGCCACGGACCAUCCUGUGCCUGGGUGGCCUCUGCUUUAAGUCUGCAGCUGGCGGGGGAGGAGACUGUGCAUAAUCAUGGAGGGCACUGGCAAGUCUGGUGGAGAGGGAGGAGGUCAGGAAAUAAACGAGAGAGGAAAAUUAAGAGAGUCGGUACCAGGCAGAUUUCUGGGUGAGGCCCAGAGGAGCAUUUUGAUUCAUCCAUCCAUUCAACAAGGGACUAUGUUUUAUCCAACUUGUAUCCUUAGAGUAUAACACAACAUCUGCACAUAAGACAGAAAGGCUGCAACCUCUUCACCUGGGAAAUGAAUGGUCCUGUGAUUUACAAGGGCAGUGGUAAAAGAACUCCCAGGAAGGUUUCCUCUUAACCAAUCUAAUUCUCUUCUGUCACAACAUCUGCUGAUUCUGUCCUCAACUGGAAGCAGAGAACUGAGCUCCUCCUUCUAUGCUUAGCUACAUAAAUCCUAUGUGAGUUCUAUACCUGUUCAAAAAAGGGUAUUUUGGUUCCUCCAUUUUUUUCCCCAAGAACAUUUGCCUA